rnacentral:lncRNA from 1 species
AAGUCUUCAUUCAAAGAUGAAAUAACUGUAUUUUCUUCCAAUUUAAUAAUGUAAACAUUCGUGUAUAGGCUUUGAUUUUUUUUUCCUGUGACCUUGAAAUUUUUCUGAUAACCAGCCUUGUCACAUUUUGUCUUAAACUCUAGCUUUACUACCAGAAUCAACAGUAAUUAUUGUUUACUCCAACUGAUUCCUCACUUCAGGUUUCACAGACAUUUCACCAGAAGAGUUGAGGCUUGAGUACCAUAACUUCUUAACCAGCAACAACUUGCAGAGCUAUCUAAACUCUGUUCAACAGCUAGUAAAUCAGUGGAGGAGUAGGAUAAAUGAACUGAAAAAUCUAAAUAUGUCGACCAAAGGAGCUCUGCUCUCUGACUUAAAGGAUGCAGUCAGUCAAGC